GUGGGGAAUAUUGGACAAUGGGCGAAAGCCUGAUCCAGCCAUGCCGCGUGAGUGAUGAAGGCCCUAGGGUUGUAAAGCUCUUUCAGUGGGGAAGAUAAUGACGGUACCCACAGAAGAAGCCCCGGCUAACUUCGUGCCAGCAGCCGCGGUAAUACGAAGGGGGCUAGCGUUGUUCGGAUUUACUGGGCGUAAAGCGCACGUAGGCGGAUUGGUCAGUUAGAGGUGAAAUCCUGGAGCUCAACUCCAGAACUGCCUUUAAUACUGCCAGUCUAGAGUCCAGAAGAGGUGAGUGGAACUCCUAGUGUAGAGGUGGAAUUCGUAGAUAUUAGGAAGAACACCAGUGGCGAAGGCGGCUCACUGGUCUGGUACUGACGCUGAGGUGCGAAAGCGUGGGGAGCAAACAGGAUUAGAUACCCCAGUAGUCC
rnacentral:rRNA from 1 species